rnacentral:lncRNA from 1 species
CCUGCGUCUUCCUUUUCUUCUCCAGCAGUCCAGCAACGUGAACAAUCCCAGAAAUCGAAGCCCAGAAACGCUGCAAACCAGCGAUUCCAACAGCACCAAACCGACCCCACCCCUGCAGGUUUCCUUCUUUUUCUUUGCUUGUGAAACUCAGCAAACAGUAGCCGACCGACCUGUUACGCGUUCUUCUUUCUUCAGACGCGAUAUCUGCCCUGCGAGACCCAUACCCUAGGCUCCUUAACGAUCACAUCUCACGUCCCCUUUCAGGGAUUUUCAAAUCUUUUCUACUGUUGUCUUGAAAAGGGGCAGAAGGAAUUCGAAUUUCAAAUUCGAAAUUUCAUCCGUUUUCCCUCAAAUCGGUCCUAGUUUUCCUAUAUAUAAACCACCCCCUACCCAUCGGUGUUAGGGGGGCAGAACAUAAAGGAAGUUUUUUGGAGUUUGAGUUUUUGGCAAUAGUCAUUUUACACUAAUGAAUUUCACAUUUAGUCCUUUGAUUCUAAAUUCCGAAAAGGUAGCCGCUUAGGUUCUGCCCAGAUUUCUUGUGUGUUGUUCGUAUUAGAGUUUUUGUGGUAGAAGAAUUGUCGCUAGCUCGCUUUCGCCUCAGUUUGCUGCUCUCAAAGGGCUAAUAUCUUCCUCCUAUUUAUUUUCUUUAGUUAUGAAGAAUGUCUAAAUCUUUUUUUUGUAAAUGUCUAUCUCUCUGUGGUUUGGUGCCUUCAUAUUUUAUUUUCUUGAAAUAUGUUAGUACUGCAUAAUUUGUCGGAUUAGCUUUCGAGCAUAUUAAGGUCUCAUCGAUUUCGGUUUCUUAUUAAUAGAUGUUUCAUAUAUUUGAUCAAACCAUCCUAAAUUUUCUGUUUUAAAUAAUUUGUGUACCUCUGUAUCGAUUUCAGUUCCUCAUACUAAAAUUAUAUUCUAAUGUGAUAUUUGAAUGUUGGCGAUAGUAUUAUUAUAGAAAUCUUUGAGCUUGAGUGGUUGCUUUGUAUAUCAAUGACUUGGAUUAAUAUAUUUGAGUAAGUGUUAAUAUCUCAUCUAAGUUAUUUCUAUCUUACUUUAUCACCUAUUUAGCUUCCGUUUAAAUGAACAAAGGAUACUUAGGACCUUUUGAUUUUGUCAUUAUGCAGUAAAUUAGAUCAUAUGUUACUCUUUUAAUGUCACUUUUUUUUUAGUUUUUGCUUCAAAGCAUAUGGAUAGCUUAGAUUAUUCUUCAUUAAGCUUAAGUUUUGGCUCCCCUUUAUUCUGUUUGGUUUAGGUAUUUCACUGCAUAUUGCUUCAUGAGAUUUAACAAGUGAGCUUUCUUCUUUGUUGAAAGUUUGGCUAAUCACUUGGAAUUUUCAUAGUCCAUUGGCUUUGUGUUCAUUCAUUGGUAGUAAAUCUUUAUAAUCAUUCUUUGUUUACUUCUUUGUAACUUCAUUUGAAAAUGUUUAGAUUUCACUAGUUGAGUUAAAGGGUCGUUGGAUUGUUGAAUAUUUAAAUGUGCAUGACUACACAUUAAGCCUCCCAAACUUUUCCUCUUGUUUGGUGCCUAACUCGGUACAAUGAAAUGCUCAAAUUAAAAAAUGCUACAAAAAGUUACUUUAUUUUUGCUAAAUAUUUGUUCGCCCGAUUCUUAGAAGUUUAGGGCAGUUUUCCAGUAGCUUCACUGAAUCAUUAAUAAUAAUAAAGUGACUAGCAAGUUUUUGUUUAUUUUUUUACUUGGAAAGUGUUUAAUUGAUUGUUGUUUGAUUUAUUGAUUUGCUUAUUUGUUUGAUCAAUUCAAUACUAAUAUUACGUUUUCUUUUUGACAUGUGAAAUUCCAUUCAAGUCCACUUCGGACCCCACUCUUGCAUGUCCUUGAGUCGUUUCGAGUCAUCCUUAUAUUUGCAAUCAAAGAGAAGCUGGAACAACUUUUUUUGGAAAGCCGAAAACAGACUGAUAUACAGCCUAUAUACAACAUUAUACACUGAUAUACAGGUUCAAUAUAACAAUAUGUGGCCAAAAAUGAAGACACGGGUUGGAGGCGUCAAAGAAAAAUGUAUACAGUCGGUAUAUGUGUUGAUAUACAGGAAAAAUGGCUGAUAUACACGCUAAUAUACACUAAUUUACAUCAGGUGUAUACAAAAACGGGUUUAGGAAUAAACCCCAAAAAAUUUCAGCGAAAUUGGCCCAAAUUCAAUUUCUCCCUUACUCUUUAAUUAUUUAAUUGUGAUAAUUUAUUUGUUGUUUAACUCUAACUUUAUAAUUGUUAAUUAACUUAAUGAAUUCCCC